AAAGUUACUGUUUGAUUGUAGCCAGCACAUUUUCGAUGGCAUCAUUUUUAGGAGGAGAUUGCAAAGAGGAGAGACAGAUUUUUGGCCAUGGCAUUUUGUGGAGCAGUGGCAGCAACGUCUAUACAGAGAAACGUGUGGGUAAGGAGUCACAG